UGGGGGAUCUUGCACAAUGGGCGAAAGCCUGAUGCAGCGACGCCGCGUGGGGGAUGAAGGCCCUCGGGUUGUAAACCCCUUUCGGCAGGGAAGAAGCGAAAGUGACGGUACCUGCAGAAGAAGCCCCGGCCAACUACGUGCCAGCAGCCGCGGUAAGACGUAGGGGGCGAGCGUUGUCCGGAUUUAUUGGGCGUAAAGCGCGCGCAGGCGGCUCGGAAAGUCGGGUGUGAAAACCCGGGGCUCAACCCCGGACCUGCAUCCGAUACUCCCGGGCUAGAGGCAGGUAGGGGAGAGUGGAAUUCCUGGUGUAGCGGUGAAAUGCGCAGAUAUCAGGAGGAACACCGGUGGCGAAGGCGGCUCUCUGGACCUGUCCUGACGCUCAGGCGCGAAAGCUAGGGGAGCGAACAGGAUUAGAUACCCCCGUAGUCC
rnacentral:rRNA from 1 species